GGUCUGCUAGAGUUGCUCUGAUGAUGAUAUUGCCCCUGUCACCACCCCAGCCCCAACUCCUCUCCCCCCGAUAACCCUUGCCCCUCAUCCCCAUCCAUUCCAUCCCCUUCUUCCCAACCUCAUCUACCACAGCCGCCAUGGGUGGAUGAAAAGGGAAAGAAAUAACACACAGACAAGAAAUUGAAGAUCUGGGAAAAGGAACAAAGCAAGUUGCAGGAGAGAAAAGAAUGUCGGGCAGUGGUGCCUCUUACCAGGGUGAGUUUUCUGAAUCUUCCUCUCAAGAUCCUUCUGUGUGAUUUGCUUCUUCUGAACCCCAUCCGAAAAUCAGCAUGCUUUUGCUUGCUUCUUUCUUGAUGGGACAAAGAAUUUGGCGGUUGGUCUGUGACAAAAAAUUGAUAGUUAAUAGCAUCUAGAUCAGAGCGUGGGCAGUUGUGUUGUGGCAAAAAUAAAGAGAGACAAAAAAAACUCAUAUCUAGUUCCAGUGUGUGGCAGGUUUUUAGCUAGAUUUUAGAAGUGGUAGCUGUAGCAGAGAUUGAAAGAUCUAGAUAAAUUGACUGAACAAAUCAUUCAGUUUUCUGAAUCUUUUACAUACAGUGUAUGUGCAGUUAGAUACAGUAUGCAGUAAGUGAGAACAAAAGGGGGACAAAAACUUUAGUUAUUCAUAUAUAUUCCUCCCAUUAUUGCGUUAUAUGAUGGACAAAAAGUAUCACAAACAUGAUGUUGAGCUGGUAUGAAAAGCAUCUUGCCUGAUUACCACAGAAAGCUGCAAAUGGUUCUCAACACUACUUCUGUAUGACAAACUAAGCAGCAGUGCCUAGAGAACUAGAGAAGAUAUUGGGUAUCAUAAUUUUGACACUAAAAAAUGGCUGCAGGACAUGAAGAUAACUUUGCGGGGGAGUACAUUGGUAAACAGGCAAGUGUUUUCUCCCUCUUUUUUGACUCCUACUUCCAUAAUUGAAAUGAACAAACAAAAGUGCAGACAAAAAAGAAACUUACAAUGUAUUUAUAUUUGCAGCCUGGACAAUCCCAAUAUCCUGGAGCAUUGUUUGACCCCAGUCUCUUUGGAAUGCAAAACAAUGGAGCGAGUUUUGUGCCGAUGUUUUACCCCAACUCAUUUCCUCCUCAGGUCCUUGAGUUGCCUGUCUCAUGACCAAAAAAUACAAAGCUUAUUGUAACUGUUCCUGCAAAUAUGUACUUGAAUGAAUGAACGACAUAUGUGAGUUGCCGAGACAGGUUAUAUAUACUUGAAUGAAUGAAUGAACGACAUAUGUGUAUAGGUAUGUAUGUGUGAGAUGCUGCAUGAGUAAGGUUUCCAAUAACAUGAGCUGACUCGAAAGCGGGACCCAUGAAGAUUGAAAACAAGUCCACUUGACAAAUGUGCAUGAGCAGCACUGAGCACUAGACACUAGUAUUCCCUGUCUGAAGAUACUACAACAUCAAGCAAGUUCUUG
rnacentral:lncRNA from 1 species